AUUGAACGCUGGCGGCAGGCCUAACACAUGCAAGUCGAGCGAGCGGCGGACGGGUGAGGAAUGUAUGGGGACUGCCCGAUAGAGGGGGAGAACUACUAGAAACGGUAGCUAAUACCGCAUACUAUCGGAUAACCCAUAGGGGAUUAGCUAGUAGGUGAGGUAAUGGCUCACCUAGGCGACGAUCCCUAGAUGGUGUGAGAGGAUGAUCAGCCACACUGUGACUGAGACACGGCCCAGAUUCCUACGGAGGCAGAAGUGGGUAUGAUUGCACAAUGGGCGCAAUCCUGAUGCAGCCAUGCCGCGUGUAUGAAGAAGGCCUUAGGGUUGUAAAGUACUUUCAGUCGGGAGGCGUUACCUACAGAAGAAGCACCGGCUAACUCCGUGCCAGCAGCCGCGGUAAUAC
rnacentral:rRNA from 1 species